CUGCCCUCCGCGCAGCAUGGGGUCCCUGCGUCCCGGCUCCACGGUGCGGGAGUCCUCCAUGGUGGCUGAAUUCGCCUUUCAGGCCCUAUGUUCAGGAUUUGUGAUCUGGGUUUUAAAAACAUUUUUUUAGAAGUCAUUGGUAAUUAAAAACAGUAAGUUUUUUAUUGUGGUAAAAUAUACAUAAAAUUUACCACAGUAAUCUUUUUUUAAGCGUACAGUUGGCUGACCCUGAGUGAAUUCGCUGUUGAUAAUCUGCUCCUCUCUGAGCUGCUGUCGCCCACACUCACCGCUGGCCGUGCUUGUUUUUCUCCUGGAACUGGGGCCUGUGUCCCUGUUGACCUUGUCCUGGGUAGCUGAGCCCAGGGGACUCUCCUGCUUAGGGCUACCGCUCAGUAUCUGCACAGCCACAACGUCCAGCCAGGGAGGGCAUCCGAGACCCUCAGCACCCACCCCGGGGGGCCCGGCCCGUGUCAGGCUGCGAGUUCCCGAGUCCCUGGACCCAGCUGUGCCUGCUGGGGUCAGCGCAGUCUGUGAGCCUCAGCCCCCAACUGUUCAGCGUCAUCAGCAACCCCCAGCUCCCAGCAAGGCCUGUCGGAACCCAGCAGAGGCUGGCGGCUGGGGCUUGUCCUCGAGCAGGGGGGCAGGACACGGGGCGCGGGGCUCCUGGCCUUGUAGCGUCCUGUCAGGAUGGACGACCCAAGCCAGACGGUGCUCCCUCCCGCCACACCUGGCCAUACUGGCCUCCACCCAUGCCGGUGCUGCCGAGGCCCCCGUGUGGGACAGGCCCCCCCCACUCCCGCCUGUCCUCCUGGCUGCAUCUGCAUCCGCCCGUACCCGCACCGGGCCUCACUGGCCCCUUCUGAGACCUGCACAGCCAGAAACGGGAAUCCAAGUCCAGGGUUUACCUCUGGGGCCCUGGGGACCACGUUGCUGCCUAGGAAACUCCGAGGCAGAAGCCUUUUCUCCAGGAAGGGCCGGCGAGGAGCCCGACAGCCAGCUCCACGGAGAAGGCCUCAGAGCGGGCAGGCCAGGAAUGCCCUCCCGCCCACCCUGGGAGACCGGCCCUUCCUCAGACCGUUUCUGGGAGGUCGAACACCUGUCCACUUUGAUUUUCCCUGACUUCGCAACAUCUGUUUACGAACGGUUUUGCCCAGCUCAUGACUUUUUGGGGAGUUUUUGUACUAGAACUGUUGAACUUUGCUUAGGGACAUUACACAAGACGCAAACUGCAGGGGACGUUUGGGAGACACACGGCAGGCCUUGUCCGGAAUCUUUUCUGUUUACUGAAAGUUCAUUUGGUUUUCAUGGCCAGUUAACUUGAGGCCUAGGGACAGUGCCGGAUUGCAGCAGGGCAAGGACUAAACAUCUGGACCCGAGGAGAGGAGGAGCCCCCCGAAGCCCCUCCUGCCACGCCACCACCACUCAGCACCUGAGGAGCUCCAGAAGCUUCCGGAAGCUCCUGGCCAGCUUCACUCCAGAGACUGAUUUCAGUGGCCAGGCUGUGGCCUGGAUGCAGGCAUGCUAAAGCCCCCAGGGGGUUCUAAGGGUGGCCACGGUGGGGGCCAACUGUGCCAGGUCAGGUCGCUGCCUGGUGAGCAGGUCACCUGCCCGGGGGAUGCCUGUGGCCCCCACCACACAAGCCUGAGCUGGGGUGGGGCCUGGCACCGUGCAGUUGAAGAGCACCUGGUUGUUUAAGUUAAUGUAAAACGUCCGCCCCAAUGAGAAGCUUUCUGGACGUUUCCCUCCCAGGGAGUCUGCGGGUCAUAGGCAGUCACCGGGGAGGUGUCCAAUUCCCAAGAGGAACAAGAGAGACCAGGCCAAGUGGGGGGCCUUGGGGAGGCUGCGUCAACGUGUGGGCCCCUCCCGACGCCACGGGGCCUGCACAGGCUCCCAUCUGCCUCUGGGCGUGGCCCAGACGCAGGAAGGUAUCUGGGGAAAGGAAUGCCCAUGGCAGUCAUGGCACAGUAUCAUCCCUGGAGCCUCCAUCCUGCCCCCACAGACUAGAAUAUUCCCUGGAGGAAUCCCCAGCCUAGCUGGGAAGGGCGGAAGCUGGUGUUCCAGACAGACACUUCACCUUCCCAUCUCAACAGGGCGGGAGAAGCCAGGGCAAGGUGGCAAUCGAGAGACAAACCAGGCCUUGAGUGGGAUCUCACUUUAAUGGAGAGGACGUUAUGACCUCCGGGGCAUGGCUCUUGGCCUUGGGCAAGCCCCUGGUUUUCAUGGACCUGUCGAUCC
rnacentral:antisense_RNA from 1 species